UGACCUGCGGAGGAUCAUUAUCGUU
rnacentral:rRNA from 1 species